ACGCGUCGUUAUCGAUAAAGUGUGCUGUCAGGAAUAUAAUUGGAGGAUUGCGGGUAAAUUUCGGUCUGAUGAGAAGUUAUGGGAGAGGAUGGGGUGGCGAUACACAGGGGUGUAAGCCCCUCAAUUCACUGGAGCGAUAAGUCAAACGUCGGAAAACGGAAAGUGAAGCGAUAUGAAACUGUUAUCAGGCGUAUUGUUGCGAGAUAUAUUUCACUUCCAGCUGCUGAAGAUGAAAUGUUAUAAAUGAACUGACACCGCCACUCACAGAUGCAGCGAGCGAAAUUGAAGGAGUCAAGGAAGAAUAUACUCCGAAGAGUUUUCUCAGUACGUUGAAAGGAAGUUGAGUGAAGUGCUUGCUCCUCAGUCUGGCACUUCUUGACCCCUUGAUACUUCG